rnacentral:rRNA from 1 species
GACGAACGCUGGCGGCGCGCCUAACACAUGCAAGUCGAACGAGCGAGCGAGAGCUUGCUUUCUCGAGCGAGUGGCGAACGGGUGAGUAACGCGUGAGGAACCUGCCUCAAAGAGGAGGACAACAGUUGGAAACGACUGCUAAUACCGCAUAAGCCCACGGCUCGGCAUCGAGCAGGGGGAAAAGGAGCAAUCCGCUUUGAGAUGGCCUCGCGUCCGAUUAGCUAGUUGGUGGGGUAACGGCCCACCAAGGCGACGAUCGGUAGCCGGACUGAGAGGUUGAACGGCCACAUUGGGACUGAGACACGGCCCAGACUCCUACGGGAGGCAGCAGUGGGGAAUAUUGCACAAUGGGGGAAACCCUGAUGCAGCGACGCCGCGUGGAGGAAGAAGGUCUUCGGAUUGUAAACUCCUGUUGUUGGGGAAGAUAAUGACGGUACCCAACAAGGAAGUGACGGCUAACUACGUG